rnacentral:tRNA from 1 species
UCCCUGGUGGUCCAGUGGGUAAGACUCUGCUGCCACUGCAGGAGGUACUGGUUCAAUCCCUGUUCAGGGAA